rnacentral:rRNA from 1 species
GACGAACGCUGGCGGCGUGCCUAAUACAUGCAAGUCGAGCGGACCAAAGGGAGCUUGCUCCUGGAGGUCAGCGGCGAACGGGUGAGUAACACGUGGGCAACCUGCCUGUAAGACUGGGAUAACAUCGAGAAAUCGGUGCUAAUACCGGAUAAUAAAAAGAACUGCAUGGUUCUUUUUUGAAAGAUGGUUUCGGCUAUCACUUACAGAUGGGCCCGCGGCGCAUUAGCUAGUUGGUGAGGUAACGGCUCACCAAGGCAACGAUGCGUAGCCGACCUGAGAGGGUGAUCGGCCACACUGGGACUGAGACACGGCCCAGACUCCUACGGGAGGCAGCAGUAGGGAAUCUUCCGCAAAUGGACGAAAGUACUGACGGAGCAACGCCGCGUGAGUGAUGAAGGUUUUCGGAUCGUAAAACUCUGUUGUUAGGGAAGAACAAGUGCCGUUCGAAAGGGCGGCACCUUGACGGUACCUAACGAGAAAGCCACGGCUAACUACGUGCCAGCAGCCGACGG